UGCAGCCAUCAAGAAAUUAGAUUCCAGUUAGCAACUAGACCUGGAAUUUCUAGCACAGGUUUCCAUGGUAUCAAGACUUAAACAAGAAAAUGUUGUUGAGCUUGUUGGUUAUUGCAUUGAUGGCCCUCUACGUGUCCUUGUCUAUUAGCAUACUUCAAAAGGAUCUCUUCAUGCCAUUCUUCAUGCAUCUUCAAUACUGCCCUGACAAUGAUUUCAUCUCUCCUAUCACUGCCGCGUGGA